rnacentral:lncRNA from 1 species
ACGCCUCUUGUAAUUCAAUCAUUAUACAACAUAUCUUUUUCUCAUUUACCAGCCUACUAGUAUCCGUGGGGGUCCAUAGGGGUCCCGCUACCCGUUAACCUUUAACAUUCAUAAUCAGUUUCCAGGGCCGUCCCCAUACCCCGUCCGGUAUGGGCGCCAAAACCAUAAACCUCAAUACCCCGUCCGGUAUGAGGGUGAAACGGGCCGUCCCCAUACCCCGUCAGGUAUGGGCGCCAAAACCAUAAGAUCUCCAUACCCCGUCCGGCAUGUGAGACCACAAUCCCGGUAGGGUUCCCUACGGACCCGGUCCGUCCACCAUCUCCCAGGAUAUCUAGUCAGGCUGACCCCCAUAAUACAAUUAUCAGUCUACACAAUCUUUCAUUUUCCUUUCCCUCAGUCAGCAUCAUCAAUUCACAUUUAAACAAGCAAAUCGUAAUUCAUGCCAAACAGACAACAUACAGUAUCAGUUUUUCAGUCAUUCA